rnacentral:misc_RNA from 1 species
UGGUUCUGGCAUNGAUGAAGAACGCAGCGAAAUGCGAUAAGUAAUGUGAAUUGCAGAAUUCAGUGAAUCAUCGAAUCUUUGAACGCACAUUGCGUCCUUUGGUAUUCCGAGGGACAUGCCUGUUUGAGCGUUGUUUCAAUCUAAGCUAAGGCUUGCUUUGAGUGUAGUCGGUACGACUUACUCGGAAGAUAAUGGCGACGAAGCAUUUCCUUCGAGCAGCGACCAAGCUGGUUUUGAGGGGUUUGUCAGUUUGCCUUGAACCAUAUUUUUUGAGAUCAACCUCAGACAGACAGGAUUACCCGCUGA